rnacentral:lncRNA from 1 species
AUGAAGAUUCUGGGAGAUGUAGUCCCAAAAACUAACAUUUCCACACACCGCUUGUUCCAAAUCCAAUUGCAUUACCACAAUGCUCCCAGCUUGGACACUUACCAACCCUCACCCUUGCCACAGACACUCCGGCUGAAGGUGCUCGACCCCGGCCUUCUUGGCACAGAGAAGAUUCGAACUCCUGGUUAUACCAGCUGUACCACCCCCAGCCUCACCCCCAAUUACUGCUCCUGCUAUUUCGAUGGGCAACGAAUCAACCCCCAGCGGGCGACUGGCGAUCUCUUUCGGUCAAGAGAUGGCAAAGAGUGGCACGCUCACUCCCGGCCUCGAAGUUCUAGUCGCGAGAGCCUGGUUUCGGUAAAGUCUGAUAAGUGCACGUAAAGGAUUAAGUUCAAAAAGGAAGAGAGAGAAAA